UAUUCGCUUUUACAUUCACAUACUGUCAAAAUCUGUGUGAUGAAAGAAUCGACGAUAGGUGGCUCUGAGAUCGGCUGCUCGGUUAUAGAACCAUUCAGUUAUAGAACCGCGCACAGGCCGGUUCUAUAACUGGACCGGCACUGUAGUCUUUAAGUUUUUCGAAGGUCGAAUGUCGUUCGUGACUCAGUAUUUGUACCUUAGCAAUUGUUCGAUGUGUUCAACAUUUUGGAACUACAAGCGUGUGCGUUUUUUUAUUUGCAUGGUUGUUGAUUGUGGUAUCGAUUGUGGGUUCUUUUCGUUCCGUGAUUAUUUAAUGUGAUUUACCAUUUAGUGACCAACAACCUACUGGUUUUUUGGGGUGAUCGUGCAAGUUCACGUUUUUUUGUGAGGGAAACGGAUUUUUUCUCACAAUUCAAAGGUGCGUUUUCUUCUUCUUUUCUGCAUGGCGUCUAAUUAUGGGACUUGUGCUCCGUGCCCCAUUGAUGUUUCGGUGCUUAAUGCAAUUGAUUUAGAAUCAUGUUUGCUAACCAUCAAUUCGAUUCAAGUAUUGCUGCAAAUGACACCGUAAACGAACUUCAAGGAAUUGACGACGUAACUCACGUAAAUGAAAGCAUUGUCACCAAGUCUGAUGAUACAUUUCCAGUUAUUUCAAUUUUGAAGGAGUCGUCAGAAGGUAAAAAAACUGUUAAAUCAUUUAUGGAUCGCGACGAAGCGUAUUUAGAAGUAGAUGAACGAAAAACGUUGGUACGAAUACUGGUGAGCCAUAUGUGCAUGCUUUCUGGGAAAAAAGAUUUAUAUCCACCGAGUAGCCUCAAAGAAGAACUUGCAAAGGCAAUUGUUAAAGCUUUUCCAUGUUUGGCUGUUCCUUGUUCUGACGGCUCUAGCCUGACUAACUAUACUCACUAAUUUUAAUCUUCACUCUCUUUCUUUUAAUCCAAAAUUAACUAACGGUUUCAUCGACAUUCGUCUGAAAACUAUGCGGUCAAAGUCCGACGUGGCAAGGGAAAAAACAUUAAGGAAAACCAAGACUGCUGCUUCCCGGCUAAAAAGACCAAUCGCAGGCCUGUCAAUGAGUUUAAUGGUGACAGAGACCCCGCUUUCGAUGAACAUAAAUUCAAGAUUGCAUGGAUGUAGAUACAUUUGCCCGAACAGAGUUCUAAUGAAACCACAGUUCAAGAGCAUUUGGCAUCUACAUAUAACUACAGACAGCAUCAAAUUUCAGUAGGACAAUGGACCACUACUACAGAUACCUGAGUUUGCAAAAAUUUGCAUCUUAGAUUUUCCGUGAUUAACCACUGGCAUUCCCGAAAGCAGGGCGCUUUCAAGAGACGAUUAUUUUGAAGUAUGGACCGAAAUUCGGAAUCAUAUUUUCUCAAUAUUGUCAAUAUCAAUAAAUGCAUACCUUUC